rnacentral:misc_RNA from 1 species
CAUAAUAAACAUAUGAAGGCUGUACGCGCAAGUGCCUCGGCCAGUUUGCGGAGGCUAUUUUAUUACCCUUGUCUUUUGCGCACUUGUUGUUUCCUGGGCGGGUUCGCCCGCCACCAGGACCACAUGCAUAAACCUUUUUAUGCAGUUGCAAUCAGCGUCAGUAUAACAAAUGUAAAUCAUUA